rnacentral:tRNA from 1 species
GGUGAAAUGGCUGAGUGGUCGAAAGCGCACGCCUGGAAAGUGUGUAUACGUGAAUAGCGUAUCGAGGGUUCGAAUCCCUCUUUCACCG